GACGAACGCUGGCGGCGCGCCUAACACAUGCAAGUCGAACGGAGUUUCCCCUUCGGGGGGAGCUUAGUGGCGGACAGGUGAGUAACACGUGAGGAACCUGCCUUUGAGAGCGGGAUACCGUCUGGAAGCGGACGUUAAUACCGCAUAAUGCAGCGAGGCCACAUGGCCAUGCUGCCAAAAGAUUUAUCGCUCAAAGAUGGCCUCGCGCCUGAUUAGAUAGUUGGCGGGGUAACGGCCCACCAAGUCUGCGAUCAGUAGCCGGACUGAGAGGUCGAACGGCCACAUUGGGACUGAGAUACGGCCCAGACUCCUACGGGAGGCAGCAGUGGGGGAUAUUGCACAAUGGGCGAAAGCCUGAUGCAGCGACGCCGCGUGAGGGAAGACGGUUUUCGGAUUGUAAACCUCUGUCUUCGGGGACGAAACAAGACGGUACCCGAGGAGGAAGCCACGGCUAACUACGUGCCAGCAGCCGCGGUAAU
rnacentral:rRNA from 1 species